GAUAAGCGCUGAAAGCAUCUAAGCGCGAAGCGAGCCCUGAGAUGAGUCUUCCCUGAUACUUUAAGUAUCCUAAAGGGUUGUUCGAGACUAGAACGUUGAUAGGCAGGGUGUGUAAGCGUUGUGAGGCGUUGAGCUAACCUGUACUAAUUGCCCGUGAGGCUUAACCAUACAACACCCAAGGGGUUUUGUA
rnacentral:rRNA from 1 species